rnacentral:rRNA from 1 species
GACAGAGGGUGCAACCGUUGUUCGGAAUUACUGGGCGUAAAGCGCGUGUAGGCGGCAGCGCAAGUCGGAUGUGAAAUCCCAUGGCUCAACCAUGGAAGUGCACCCGAAACUGCGUCGCUAGAGUCCUGGAGAGGAAGGUGGAAUGCUUGGUGUAGAGGUGAAAUUCGUAGAUAUCAAGCGGAACACCGGUGGCGAAGGCGGCCUUCUGGACAGUGACUGACGCUGAGACGCGAAAGCGUGGGGAGCAAACAGG